rnacentral:rRNA from 1 species
GACGAACGCUGGCGGCGUGCUUAACACAUGCAAGUCGAACGGAAAGGCCUGCUUUCCCUUGUGGAUUGCGGGUACUCGAGUGGCGAACGGGUGAGUAACACGUGAGUGAUCUGCCCCCAACUUGGGUAUAAGCCUGGGAAACUGGGUCUAAUUCCCGAUAGGACUGCAGGGUGGUGCCGGUGGUGGAAAACGAUCUUCUAGUGGUUGGGGAUGAGCUCGCGGCCUAUCAGCUUGUUGGUGGGGUAAUGGCCUACCAAGGCGGCGACGGGUAGCCGGCCUGGGAUGGUGGACGGCCACAUUGGGACUGGGAUACGGCCCAGACGCCUACGGGAGGCAGCAGUGGGGAAGAUUGCGCAAUGGGCGGAAGCCUGAUGCAGCGACGCCGCGUGGGGGAUCACGGCCUUCGGGUUGUAAGCUCCUUGCGACCGCGAGGAAGCCACCUGGUUGGAAGGGUGGUGACGGUAGUGGUAGAAGAAGCACCGGCUAACUACGUG